rnacentral:rRNA from 1 species
CCUACGGGAGUCAGCAGUAGGGAAUAUUGCACAAUGGGGGCAACCCUGAUGCAGCAACGCCGCGUGAGUGAAGAAGGAUUUCGGUUUGUAAAGCUCUGUCGUCAGAGAAGAAAAUGACGGUGACUAACUAAGAAGCCCCGGCUAACUCCGUUCCCGCAGCCGCGGUCAUACGUAGGGGGCAAGCGUUACCCGGAUUUACUGGGCUAAAAGGUAGCGUAGACGGCACCACAAGUCUGGAGUGAAAUGCCUGGGCUUAACCCAGGAAAUGCAUUGGAAACUGUGAAGCUAGAGUGCAGGAGAGGUAAGUGGAAUUCCUAGUGUAGCGGUGAAAUGCGGAGAUAUAAGGAGGAACACCAGGGGCGAAGGCGGCUCACUGGACUGUAACUGACGCUGAGGCUCGAAAGCGUGGGGAGCAAACAGGAUUAGAUACCCUGGUAGUC